rnacentral:rRNA from 1 species
CCCUACUCCUACGGGAGGCAGCAGUAGGGAAUCUUCCACAAUGGACGCAAGUCUGAUGGAGCAACGCCGCGUGAGUGAAGAAGGUUUUCGGAUCGUAAAGCUCUGUUGUUGGUGAAGAAAGAUAGUGAGUAGUAACUGCUCAUUAUUGCCGGUAAUCAACCAGAAAGUCACGGCUAACUACGUGCCAGCAGCCGCGGUAAUA